AGGACGAACGCUGGCGGCGUGCUUAACACAUGCAAGUCGAGCGAUGAAGCUUCUUCGGAAGUGGAUUAGCGGCGGACGGGUGAGUAACACGUGGGUAACCUGCCUCAUAGAGGGGAAUAGCCUUCCGAAAGGAAGAUUAAUACCGCAUAAGAUUGUAAUAUCGCAUGAUAUAGCAAUUAAAGGAGUAAUCCGCUAUGAGAUGGACCCGCGUCGCAUUAGCUAGUUGGUGAGGUAACGGCUCACCAAGGCGACGAUGCGUAGCCGACCUGAGAGGGUGAUCGGCCACAUUGGGACUGAGACACGGCCCAGACUCCUACGGGAGGCAGCAGUGGGGAAUAUUGCACAAUGGGGGAAACCCUGAUGCAGCCAACGCCGCGUGAGUGAUGACGGUCUUCGGAUUGUAAAGCUCUGUCUUCAGGGACGAUAAUGACGGUACCUGAGGAGGAAGCCACGGCUAACUACGUGCCAGCCGCAGC
rnacentral:rRNA from 1 species